rnacentral:rRNA from 1 species
UAAGCACUAUACCGUGAAACUGCGAAUGGCUCAUUAUAUCAGUAAUUGUUUAUUUGAUAGUACCUAUUUACCUGGAUACCCGUGGUAAUUCUAGAGCUAAUACAUGCUAAAAACCCCGACUUCGGAAGGGGUGUAUUUAUUAGAUAAAAAACCAAUGCCCUCUGGGGCUCCCUGGUGAUUCAUAAUAACUUAACGAAUCGCAUGGCCUUGCGCUGGCGAUGGUUCAUUCAAAUUUCUGCCCUAUCAACUUUCGAUGGUAGGAUAGUGGCCUACCAUGGUAUCAACGGGUAACGGGGAAUUAGGGUUCUAUUCCGGAGAGGGAGCCUGAGAAACGGCUACCACAUCCAAGGAAGGCAGCAGGCGCGCAAAUUACCCAAUCCCAAUACGGGGAGGUAGUGACAAUAAAUACUGAUACAGGGCUCUUUUGGGUCUUGUAAUUGGAAUGAGUACAACUUAAAUCCCUUAACGAGGAACAAUUGGAGGGCAAGUCUGGUGCCAGCAGCCGCGGUAAUUCCAGCUCCAAUAGCGUAUAUUAAAGUUGUUGCAGUUAAAAAGCUCGUAGUUGAACCUUGGGCCUGGCUGGUCGGUCCGCCUCACCGCGUGCACUGAUCCGGCCGGGCCUUUCCUUCUGGGGAGCCGCAUGCCCUUCACUGGGUGUGUCGGGGAACCAGGACUUUUACUUUGAAAAAAUUAGAGUGUUCAAAGCAGGCCUAUGCUCGAAUACAUUAGCAUGGAAUAAUAGAAUAGGACGUGUGGUUCUAUUUUGUUGGUUUCUAGAAUCGCCGUAAUGAUUAAUAGGGAUAGUCGGGGGCAUCAGUAUUCAAUUGUCAGAGGUGAAAUUCUUGGAUUUAUUGAAGACUAACUACUGCGAAAGCAUUUGCCAAGGAUGUUUUCAUUAAUCAGUGAACGAAAGUUAGGGGAUCGAAGACGAUCAGAUACCGUCGUAGUCUUAACCAUAAACUAUGCCGACUAGGGAUCGGGCGAUGUUAUUUUUUGACUCGCUCGGCACCUUACGAGAAAUCAAAGUCUUKGGUUC